UUCCACAGCUAUAUCACCCUGCAGCCCAAGACUGGUCGCCCACUGAAGCUAAGCAGGGUUGAGCCUGGUCAGUACCUGGAUGGGAGACCUCCUGGUUACAGCUAUAGUGUGUUCU
rnacentral:rRNA from 1 species